AGAGUUUGAUCCUGGCUCAGGAUGAACGCUGGCGGCGUGCCUAAUACAUGCAAGUCGAGCGAACCACUUCGGUGGGAAGCGGCGAACGGGUGAGUAACACGUAGGUGAUCUGCCCAUCAGACGGGGACAACGAUUGGAAACGAUCGCUAAUACCGGAUAGGACGAAAGUUUAAAGAUGCUCCUGGCAUCACUGAUGGAUGAGCCUGCGGCGCAUUAGCUAGUUGGUGGGGUAAAGGCCUACCAAGGCGACGAUGCGUAGCCGACCUGAGAGGGUGAACGGCCACACUGGGACUGAGACACGGCCCAGACUCCUACGGGAGGCAGCAGUAGGGAAUCUUCAGCAAUGGGCGAAAGCCUGACCGAGCAACGCCGCGUGAAUGAAGAAGGCCUUCGGGUUGUAAAAUUCUGUUAUAAGGGAAGAAAGGUGAUAGGAGGAAAUGACUAUCAAUUGACGGUACCUUAUGAGAAAGCCACGGCUAACUACGUG
rnacentral:rRNA from 1 species